UACAGAGGUCUCAAGCGUUGUUCGGAUUCAUUGGGCGUAAAGGGUGUGUAGGUGGCGCCGUAAGUCGGGUGUGAAAUUUUCGGAGCUUAACUCCGAAACUGCAUUCGAUACUGCGGUGCUUGAGGACUGGAGAGGAGACUGGAAUUCAUGGUGUAGCAGUGAAAUGCGUAGAGAUCAUGAGGAAGACCAGUGGCGAAGGCGGGUCUCUGGACAGUUCCUGACACUGAGACACGAAGGCCAGGGGAGCAAAACGGG
rnacentral:rRNA from 1 species